rnacentral:tRNA from 1 species
UCUAAUAUGGCAGAUUAGUGCAUUGAAUUUAAGCUUCAAAUAUAAAAUUUUCUUUUUGUUAGAA